rnacentral:lncRNA from 1 species
UUUGGGUUCUUUUUCUAUUCACUCAUGUCAGAUAGAGACAUACAUGUUGUAAAUUAUUUUGUCAGAAUGAAAGCCUGGCAGAUUAAAUGCUUUCUUCUCUUCUUGCUUUACUUGAUAUCAAUCUCUUGUUCAUUUCUUGAUAAUAUGUUUGGUUAUUUUUGUUUUCAUUGCUUUUAGUGUCAGAGAUGGCUUUGGAUUCCCCGUUCUGUGUGCUGCUGUCUGGCUCCUGAACCCAGCUGUAGAGGUGUGUCAAUCCCAACUGGUGAAGUACUGAGAGGAAGCUACACAAAAGGCAGCAAAGUAUUAGUGAGUGGUGUCAUUGAGCAAACACGAAGUCGGGCUCAUCCAAGGAUGAGAUUUUGCCAGAGAAAGGACGAGCAGCAAGUCAGGGAGCUUAAGGUGGUGGAAAGGAAAUCCCUCACAGCAACUGGCACCAUAAUCAAGACAGAAUGUUUGCAGAAUAAAUGGAGUUACCUGCUUUCAGCCCCAGGUUGUAGCUAUUGUCUGCCCUGAUGAUAUGUGAUAAUAAUUUGUGAUCCUAUUGUCUUAAAAUGGGGUCACUCAUCUCCAGUAGAAUUAAGUCCACAGUGAAGUUGUCCCCCCAUCCCCAAAGAGAUAAACAUAUAUGAAUGAACUCACAUGAUAACAACUACUGCUGCCUGGGAUCAUGAGAGACCUGAACUGAACUGAUAGGAAGUGAAAGGUGGCUGAGAUAAUGAGAAUAGACCCAUCUGCAGAGGAUCAUAAAACCAGCAAAGACAAGAUCUUGUCUAAGAUGCCUUCACAAACUUUGUCCAUGAGAACUCUAAGGACUUCUCCAGACCUGUUGGCUGCUGCUGUGAUCUCUGCCCAAGAGGAGCCUCUGACCAACAUCCAAAGGGCUUCUGGACCCACUGGACUCCUCUGGAGGUACCUUGGUCUCCCGAUCCAUGGCUGUGGUUUUUUACUCCGUUUAUCACUCCUGUGUGUAGAAUGAUAAUUGCACAAUUGAUAGUGUGAACACCUCUUGAUAAAUGGUAAAUCUGAGCAUA